AUUGAACGCAGGCGGCAGGCCUAACACAUGCAAGUCGAGCGAGCGGCGGACGGGGGAGUAAUGUAUGGGGACGGCCCGAUAGAGGGGGAUAACUACUGGAAACGGUGGCUAAUACCACAUACUAUCGGAUAAUCCAUAUGGGAUUAGCUAGUAGGGUGGUUAAAGGCUCACCUAGGCGACGAUCUCUAGCUGGUCUGAGAGGAUGAUCAGCCACACCGGGACUGAGACACGGCCCAGACUCCUACGGAUGCAGCAUUGGGUAAUAUUGCACCAUGGGCGCAAGCCUGAUGCAGCCAUGCCGCGUGUAUGAAGAAGGCCUUAGUGUUUUAACGUACUUUCAGCGGGGAGGCGUUACCCGCAGAAGAAGCACCGGCUAACUCCGUGCCAGCAGCCGCGGUAAUAC
rnacentral:rRNA from 1 species